CGUCUAAUCAGAAUGGCUGAGGCUGAGCCUCUGGCAUCUAGUUUUUACAAACUCUCGUCAUUUCAAUGCACAGCCUCUGAGUGACCAAGGAGGUUAAUAACGAACCCGGUGGUGGACUUCUGGCAUUGCUCGUCUGCGUCCCUCCGCUCGCCUCGUGCGGCCAUCUUGAUUUCCUCCUGGGCCCUCAGGCUCCUCCAGGCAUUGGGUUGGAUUUCCAGUCAGUAUGACAGAGUUCCAAGUGCUGCAUAGCCACUGCUGUUGACGUCAGUCCUUGACUCAUUCCAUUUCUGUUCUUAUGAGUCUGUCUGCCCUCCUAAGCAGCCCAGUGCUGGGGGUAACAAGACCUUUAGGACAGAAGGGGCCAUCUAGUGUGGUGCUUCAAAGCAUGGACUCUGGAGUCUGAUGGCCUGGGUUUGAAUUCCAGCUCCAUUAUUCAUUUAAUUUCCCUCUGAGUGAGUGAACUCACCUGUACAUGGUUCAGACGAUCUGGAAUUACUGAGGAUUUGAUGUGUUACUCUUCAUAAAGUCCCUAGAACAGUGUCUGGCACUGUGCUGCAAUGAUGUUUGUUAAAUACAUAGGUAGACUCCGAGUUCAGGACCGGGCAGCCCAUCCAUGCUCUCCCGAGCCAUGGCCAAGACUGACCAGGGUCAGUGCCCCUGGGCGGUGGUGGCAGACUGACAUGUCCUGGACGCAGCUGUGGCCAGCAGGCAGCCCGCUGAGGCAAUGAGCCACUGUGGCCAGAGAAGAGUCCGGCAGUGGGGGCAUCGCAUACCUUUCUCACCGCCCCCUCACUUGCCCACCCCACCUGAAAGACUGAGAGGAAACAUGGCGACCUCAUUGUGCAGUUGUUCCUGAUCCCUGGAGCAACAGCGGCUGCUGCCUAACCUGGAAAAUGGCAGAGUAGAAGGAUGUGCACUCAUCUCCUGUGAGAACUCCAAAACUACACCUCGCUGCUGAACAACCAUCAACUGAAGGAUGUUGGAUCCCACCAAAAAGAGACACCCCACGUCCAGGGGCAAAGGAAAAGUCUGAGGAAGAUGGUAUGAGGGGCGAAAUCACGUUUAGAAUCAAACCUCUUACCUGCCAGAGAUGCUCAGAGGGCUCAAACAAACCUUGUGCAUACCAGGACCCAGAGAUCCCACAGAGACUGAGACAGAACUGUGUUUGGGUGUCUCCUGAGGAGGCACAGGUCAGCAGUGGACUGCUGCAGGCGCAGGAGCUCUGGGUGCAGCAGACCUGGGU
ensembl:lncRNA